rnacentral:rRNA from 1 species
UGCCAGCCACCGCGGUACUACCGACGGGGUUCGCCUUCUUCGGAAUUACUGGGCGUAAAGCGCGCGUAGGCGGAUCAGAAAGUUGGGGGUGAAAUCCCGGGGCUCAACCUCGGAACUGCCUCCAAAACUCCUGGUCUUGAGUUCGAGAGAGGUGAGUGGAAUUCCGAGUGUAGAGGUGAAAUUCGUAGAUAUUCGGAGGAACACCAGUGGCGAAGGCGGCUCACUGGCUCGAUACUGACGCUGAGGUGCGAAAGUGUGGGGAGCAAACAGUAUUAGAUA